CAGUCGACGAUGAAGCCGGAGCUUGCUCUGGUGGAUUAGUGGCGAACGGGUGAGUAACACGUGAGUAACCUGCCCCUGACUCUGGGAUAAGCGCUGGAAACGGCGUCUAAUACCGGAUAUGCGCUGUAACCGCAUGGUUUGCAGCGGGAAAGAUUUAUCGGUUGGGGAUGGACUCGCGGCCUAUCAGCUUGUUGGUGAGGUAAUGGCUCACCAAGGCGUCGACGGGUAGCCGGCCUGAGAGGGUGACCGGCCACACUGGGACUGAGACACGGCCCAGACUCCUACGGGAGGCAGCAGUGGGGAAUAUUGCACAAUGGGCGCAAGCCUGAUGCAGCAACGCCGCGUGAGGGAUGACGGCCUUCGGGUUGUAAACCUCUUUUAGCAGGGAAGAAGCCUUCGGGUGACGGUACCUGCAGAAAAAGCGCCGGCUAACUACGUGCCAGCAGCCGCGGUAAUACGUAGGGCGCAAGCGUUAUCCGGAAUUAUUGGGCGUAAAGAGCUCGUAGGCGGUUUGUCACGUCUGCUGUGAAAACUGGAGGCUCAACCUCCAGCCUGCAGUGGGUACGGGCAGACUAGAGUGCGGUAGGGGAGAUUGGAAUUCCUGGUGUAGCGGUGGAAUGCGCAGAUAUCAGGAGGAACACCGAUGGCGAAGGCAGAUCUCUGGGCCGUUACUGACGCUGAGGAGCGAAAGGGUGGGGAGCAAACAGGCUUAGAUACCCUGGUAGUCCACCCCGUAAACGU
rnacentral:rRNA from 1 species